rnacentral:rRNA from 1 species
GGGCCCGCACAAGCGGUGGAUCAUGUGGUUUAAUUCGAAGCAACGCGCAGAACCUUACCUGGGUUUGACAUCCCCUGACAUCUGUAGAAAUACAGACUCUAGCUUGCUAGCAGGGAGACAGGUGCUGCAUGGCUGUCGUCAGCUCGUGUGGUGACAUGUUGGGUUAAGUCUCGCAACGAGCGCAACCCUUGUCUUUAGUUGCCAGCAUUAAGUUGGGCACUCUAAAGAGACUGCCGUGGUUAACACGGAGGAAGGUGGGGAUGACGUCAAGUCCUCAUGGCCCUUACAUCCAGGGCUACACACGUGAUACAAUGGGUAGUACAAAGGGCAGCAAAAGGGCAACCUCAAGCAAAUCCCAAAAAGCUACUCUCAGUUCGGAUUGGAGUCUGCAAUUCGACUCCAUGAAGGUGGAAUCGCUAGUAAUCGCGGAUCAGAACGCCGCGGUGAAUACGUUCCCGGGCCUU